rnacentral:rRNA from 2 species
UCUAGCAUGUGCGCGAGUCAUUGGGACUCAAUUAAACCCACAGGCGCAAUGAAAGUGAAGGUUCGCCUCGCGCGAACCUAGGGAGGAUGGGUCCGCCNUUCGGGCGGCCGCCCCGCACUCCCGGGGCGUCUCGUUCUCAUCGCGAGAAGAGGCGCACCCAGAGCGUACACGCUGGGACCCGAAAGAUGGUGAACUAUGCCUGGUCAGGACGAAGUCAGGGGAAACCCUGAUGGAGGUCCGUAGCGAUUCUGACGUGCAAAUCGAUCGUCGGAACUGGGUAUAGG